UUUGCAAAGCAGACGAUGAAAGCAUUGCAGCAGUCAAUUCUUCUUUGUUUAAAAUAAUGUAGUCUAAUAAUUAUUUUUGUUGCCGUUUUUUUUUAGGAAAAUGGCAUCCAGAAAUUGCUUGAUGCGGUUGAAAACUUUUCAGCUUAGUAGUUUCAACCCACCCAACGGGAUUGCCUUUUCUAGAGGUUUUUGCGCAAGUCCCCCAGUAUUCCAGACCAAAUGGCUGCAAGCCGUUUCGCACGCCGAGAAAGUGGUAGGAAAUCAUACCUUUCUCAAUCUGGAAAGUGUGACAAGCCAUGAGAUAAGUAAUAUGGCUGUUUACUUGAAAAAUCUCAUUAAAACUGGACAUCCCCUUACAUCCACUGUCAAAGAACUCCUCAAUCCUAAGGCCAAAAAUGAUCUCACCAGAGGGUUGUUGGUUUUGCUUGUAUCCAAGGCAGGAAAACAUAGGGCAAAUGAAGACAUUCUGCCGAAUCAAAGACAACUUGCAGAGAUCACAGAACAGAUCCAUACAGCUCACAUUAUCCACUCAGGAAUUAUAAAUCUUCCCACUCCGAACGAAAAUCUAGAAAUGGGGAAUAAAAUGGCAAUUCUGUGUGGUGAUUUUAUUCAGUCCCGCUCUAGUAUCCGCUUAGCAGAAUUCAAAAACAUCAAGAUUAUAGAGUUAUUUGGCCAAGCUAUAGCAGACUUUAGUGCCGUUGAAUUUAUUGAUGGGGAGUCAUACAGUGCCCUAGAUUUGUGGUCUCAGCAAACGAGGAUGAGAUAUGGAACUUUAUUAUCAAAUGCCUUCCAGUCGACCCUGAUUCUUGGUGGCAAUAUGGAUCUCCUUGAAUCCGCAACAAAUUUCGGUCUCGAAUUUACUUUUGCUUGGCAAGCAAACAUUGACCUACAAAGCUACAAGAGCACAACGAAGAAAGCGGAGCACAUUCUGACCAAGCUGUUUCCACCAGGAACUCCCUUCGAAGAAAUCUUAUUAAUUUUUGAAGCUGUACGCGACAACCACAUCAAUGCAUCAUUGAAUAUAUUGGCAAAGUUUCCACAAAAUGAAGCUAGUCUUGCUCUAAGUGACAUCGCAAAGGCACUCAAGUACUAACCGAAUUUUAAAGAAAUAGCCGCAUCUGAUAUCGAAUUUGGAAAACAGCUGCCAUUACAAGUAAUUUUAUCCACUGUUAAAUAAUUAACAAAGAUAACUAAAGGCAACCAAAAAGGUCUUUAUUUAGCUUUCUCUAUUCUCAACCGUUAUUGCAAAUAACAGACUAUCCUUUUAUUUUCUUACAGAUGUGAACCUGUUCGAUUUUAUUUAUUACAAAUCUCAUUUCAUAUAAUUGUUUAUCGGGAUAAAUUGACAAAAAUUCUAAAUAUUUUGCUUGCUUUGAUGUUUUUUUAUCCAUCCUGUUUCACUCACAAAAGCGAAUGGUUCAAAGGAACCGCCAACGUCAAGUAAACCUACGACUGUCGUCAUCUGGUGCCAGUAAUAGGAAGUUGCUUGUUGUGUCAACAACAUCGGCAACAAUAACACCUUCGUUUGCGAAAAUAUUGGGGUCAAAAUCUAGCCCCUGCUUUCUCUGAAAAGGCUGGAUUGGACGGGAGCCAUUACUUUCACUUUCCCUGUUGAUAACAGGACUUCGCGAUAAAAUGGGGGUAAUUAAACGCUCAAAGUUCCAACACAUUUCGCCUUUGGAGACUGGACCAGUUUUGCCAGAAAGUGAUUCUGUACCUGAGUUAGCCCCACCACAAAAUGUUCCUGCUACUGAGACUCUUACCCAACAAACUCUUCAACAGCUUCGACCAAUAAGGGCUUCCAGACCUCCUUGUUUCCAUAAAAAUUCAUCAGGAAAGAAUCGCUCUAGCCGCAAGUCAGAUAAUGGACAGGAGAAAAUUCCCAAAGGGCAAAAGAAACAAAGACGUUAUCAUAACAACAAGUUCUUACUCAAUUUGGCUGAAUCUGAUGAAGACAAAAGAAUUGAACCUGGAUUUACUGAACCUCACUCAGUAUUUGCUACCUUGCUACAGGAACCUGACAAAAUGGGGGCUUGGAAUGCAUUCUUAAACCUCACUGAAGAUGAUCAGCUCGCUAUUAUUGCCAAUAAUGAAAUAUUUGCUUAUUUCAACAAUGAGCCAGUAUUAGAUCAAGUGCCACCUGCUGUCGUCGAGAAAAUUGUCAGUUAUCGUGAAAGGCGCCGAAACAUGACUGCUGAAGAGGCCUUUUGCACUUUGUGCCCUAAACUGAAAUCUAUAUUCACAAAACGUCAUUUCCCUAUGGGAAUGCUAGCUCAACUGGAGAAUGAAGUCCUUGAUUUUUUCCUGGACGCCCCGGAAGGAACGUGCAUUAUCGAGAGGCAGUGCAGUUUCGAUCGACUCCUUCUUCACGCCAUCACGCGGUUCAAUUUUCUUUGUUCACAAAGUUUCUCAACUGAAGAUAAUCGCCGGGAAACUCACAUCCGCAAUAUUUGUCCGGAUUUCAUCCCACCACCCGUUUCUCUUUCCGAAUACAUCCAAAAGAAGCGUCGCUAGUCUGUUACAAGAAAAGACUUGGGCAAUCAUCGGAAAUGAAAUUUUUCAUAGAAAAAUGACCUCUUAUUUUAAAUCUUAAGUUCAAUAUGUUCCCAGUUUAGAAAUUUCCAGCAAGAUUUUCUUCUUUUUUUUUUCUUUAGGAUAAAUUUUUUUACCCAGAGAUUUGUUUAUUUCCGUAAUUUAUGCUUUUGAUGUAGCAUGUCUUUUUUUCGGUUUGGUUUGCUGUUUUAGGAUGGGGCGGUUCACUAAGCAAGGGGAGAUGCAAUUUGGUUUUCCAUUCAUAGACAUAUAGAGAAAUUGUAGAGACAUUUUUUGUUUAAUUGUUUUCAUGGUAUUUGUAUGCAAUAAUAGGAUAAAGAAGUCUCUGUUAUCAACAAAUAGAUACUUUGAAAAUA